UAUGGCCAUUUUCACUCUAUUAAUCCUUCCUACCCAGGAGCAGGGGAUGUCUGUCCAUUUUCUGAUAUCAUCUUCAAUCUCUCUUUUCAGAGUGCCAUAGUUUUCAGAGAAGAGGUCUUUGGUUUCUUUAGUUGGGAUGAUUCUUAGGUAUUUCAGUUUUGUGGAUGCCAUUGUGAAAGGAAUUAUUUGCCCUAUUUCUCUCUCAGUGAGUCUGUCAUUCGUGUAGAGGAAAGCUAUUGAUUUUUGUGUGUUGACCUUGUAACCAGCUACUUGACUGAAUUGGGUUACUAAGUCUAGAAGACUUUUGGUGGCAUUCUUGGGGUCUUCUCUAUAGAGUAUCAUGUCAUCUGCAAAUAAUGACAGUUUCACUUCUUCAUUACCGAUCUUGAUUCCUUUUAUUUCUUUCUCUUGUCUAAUUGCUAUGGCUAAUGUUUCCAGAACUGUAUUGAACAAGAGUGGUGAUAGUGGACAUCCUUGUCUUGUUCCUGAUUUUAGUGUGAAGGAUUUCAGUUUUUGACCAUUUAGUGUGAUGUUGGCUGUUGGUUUUUCAUAGAUGGCUUCUAUCAGUUUGAGGUAGAGACCAUCUAUUCCAAUUUUUUGUAGGGUUUUAAUCAUAAAUGCAUGUUGGCUUUUGUCAAAUGCUUUUUCUGCAUCUAUGGAGAUAAUCAUAUGGUUUUUGUCCUUGGCUCUAUUGAUAUAGUGUAUUACAUUGAUUGAUUUGCAUAUAUUGAACCAUCCCUGCAUCCCUGGGAUGAAUCCCACUUGAUCAGGGUGUAUGAUCUCCUUGAUGAUCUUCUGCAUUCUGUUUGCUAUUAUCUUAUUAAAGAUUUUUGCAUUUCUGUUCAUUAGUGAGAUUGGCCUAUAGUUCUCUUCUUCAGUUGGGUCUUUCUCUGCUUUGGGGAUCAAGGUGAUGCUUGCUUCCAGGAAUGAAUUUGGGAGUAUUGCUUCCCUUUCAAUUUCAUUGAAGAGUUUAAACAGUAGUGGCAGCAGUUCCUCUCUAAAUGUCUUGUAGAAUUCAGCCAUCAGGGUGAAGCCAUCAGGGCCUGGGCUUUUCUUAGUUGAUAAGUUUUUAAUUACAUUUUCAAUUUCAUUGGUUGAUAUUGGGUUGUUCAGAAUUUUU
rnacentral:lncRNA from 1 species